AAAGUCUUUCCAGCUGAAAGCCUUAAAACAUGGCAUCUGGGUUGCUUGUGGCUCCAGUAACUUAGCGCCGGGGGAAAUGGCCACAGGGACAGACCAGGUGGUGGGACUCGGCCUCGUCGCUGUUAGCCAGAUCAUCUUCACCUACUACACCGCCUGGGUGAUCUCUUGCCAUUCAUCGACAGCCAGCAUGUCAUCCACAAGUAUUUCCUGCCCCGUGCCUAUGCUGUUGCCAUCCCGCUGGCCGCAGGCCUCCUGCUACUCCUGUUUGUGGGACUGUUCAUCACCUACAUGAUGCUGAAGAGUGAGAGGGUGACCAAGAAGACUCAGUGAAGGUCCUGCGGGGAUGAGGCUGCCAGCCCCUUCUCUGCCUCCCCUCCAGGGCAGGGACCAAGCCCGGGAGCCUGCAGAACCUUCCCAGGCACAGUGGCGCCCCAAGCCUGGCUGUCCUGCAGAGUCCCCAUAGCAUGGAACUUAGCCCUGACUGACUGGAGCCCCCUCCCCUGCUCUCCUUUCCAGAAGCUAGGAGGGAGGGACACCUGGAAGACUGAUCACCCCUUUCUUGCCCAGGGCCUGAAAGAUGCUGGUCCUCCCAAUCUCACUCUCAGACCCCCUGCCACCUUUUCCCCUGGGUUCUGCCAUCAUGCCUCAUUUCCCCUCCUGUCACAUGCUGACAUUGGACUUAGCAGGUUCUAAGGCUGCAUGUGUGACGUCUGACCUCUCUCCACAAGCCCUCUCCUCCACCAAGGCAACUUUCCUUAGCCUGACACAGCGCCACACCCCAAAAGCCCUUCUGGACCUGGAAAGCCUGGGGAAGGACUGACAGACCCCAGGACCACCCGUAGGGCUCAGGGCACAUUAUGAGCCACCCCGGGCCCACUGACUGACCACUCCUCAUGGAGGCCCAGACCCCCAACCCCAGGGCUGGCUUAUUUGGGAGAGCUGACCAAUAAAUGCUGACUGAUUGAAAAAAAAAAAAAAAAAAAAAAAAACAUGGCAUCUGGAAGAAGGCCCUAGUCUAUUGCUCCCAGGGUGGUACUAUGUAGUCAUUAAACAGCCCACAGAUAAGGGAGUUAUUGCUCCCUGGUUAUUGGGCUGCCAGGAACUAAAUGAUGGAACUAAGUUUCACUUGAAACAUUCUCAAAUUAAAGCAAAAACAAGCCUUGCUUUGAGCUGUUGAAAAGGCAUUUUACUGAAAAUACCCAGAUGCUGUUGCUGUUCUUAAAUGUUUUUGAAAGGCAGAGGGUCAGGACUUUUCAGAAAGUCACUUAGAGGUCACCUCGCAUCAGCAAGCAACAGUCUGAACAGAUGCAAAAAUAAACAAUGAAAUUACGAACAGGAGGAAGAAACUAAAAUGAGGGUAGUUUUUACCAUAAAUAGGAAAGAGGCUGUGUCUUGUUUAUCUUCUCAUUUCCUGUGCAUAAUACAGAAACCUGGUAUGUAAUAGGCAUGCAUAUUAUUUGUAGCCUGACUGAAUACAUGAAGAAGGAAACCAAGAAGCAGCGGGCAGAUAAUAUACUUGGGAAAGGAGAACUGCAAAGGAGCUGGGUGGCUCAAGACCUCUGCAUGAUCCUCACAUGUCACACCAAUCUGCUGUGACAUAGCUGUACUACUCAUCAGAAUACCCCAAAAUGAAUUGUCUGCCUCCCUUAUAUACAGCUUUUAUUAUUUCCUAUCUUGAAUGGUUAAGAAUAUGUAGUAAUGGUUAAGAGACUCCACUGUGGAAUCAACCUGCGUGGCUUCAAAUUCCAGCCCUAAUAGUGAAUACCUGUGAACUAACUUGUUCAGUUGAUGUAACUUCAUCAGUGACUCGGGCUUAUCAUCUGUAAAAUGGGGAUUAUAGCAUUCCUGCCUCAUAGGGAGGUUAAGAGAUUUAAAUAUCAAUAAGUCUGUACAUUAUAAACCUUAUCAGAUUGGCAUGGCAGAAAUGCUCAGUAACUGAGCUUUGUGAGCUCAGUUGAGAUCCGCAUGAGGUAGCCUGCAUACUGGGCAUAUACAUUCUUCUGGAUUUGCUCCAUGAUAAGCUAAAGGCAUUUGGUAACCAAUAGGAAUGAAAUAAGGUUUCACACAGGAUUUUGGUGGGUGUUGUAGAUUUUAUCUGUCCCAUUUGUCCCAUUUCUCAACUUGAAGUAAGCCUGGCCUUGGUCUGCAUCUGUGCUCUCCCUUCCACAAAAGGCAGGCCCCGAGAGACUCCAGAAAUGGCACCUGUCUCCUGUGUGUACUCCACCACUUCGUCCACUUGGGCACUUCAAAGGUAUGAUCAGUACUUAUCUGAUUAAAAGAAAUCUUUGUAUAUACAGAUGUCUACAAAGGUUGAAUCUUUCAGAGGUAUAAAGUAGUUUAAAUAAACAAAUAAGCCCUCCAGUG